GACGAACGCUGGCGGCGUGCUUAACACAUGCAAGUCGAACGGAAAGGCCCCUUUGGGGGUACUCGAGUGGCGAACGGGUGAGUAACACGUGCGUAACCUGCCCUUGACUUCGUGAUGACUUCAGGCAACUGGGGCUAAUACCGGAUAGGAAUCCUUGCUGCAUGGUGGGGGGUGGAAAGCUUCUGCGGUUUGGGGUGGACUCGCGGCUUGUCUGCUUGUUGGUGGGGUAGUGGCUUACCAAGGCAUUGACGGGUAGCCGGCCUGAGAGGGGGACCGGCCACAUUUGGACUGAGGUACGGCCCAGACUCCCACGGGAGGCAGCAGUGGGGAAAAUUGCACAAUGGGCGGGAGGCUGAUGGAGGAAAGCCGCGGGCGGGAGGACGGCCUUCGGGUUGGAAAACGGGUUCAGCAGGGGCGGAGCUGGUGGUGACGGUACCUGCAGAAGAAGCACCGGCUAACUACGUG
rnacentral:rRNA from 1 species